UGUUGCUUGCAAGGGCGUAUGGUGGAUGCCUUGGCAGACAGGACCGAUGAAGGACGUUUGAGGCUGCGAUAUGCCUCGGGGAGCCGCCAACAGGGCUUUGAUCCGAGGAUUUCCGAAUGGGGGAACCCACCGACCGUCAUGGGUCGGUACCGGCUUCGGCCGGGGGGUACGCAGGGAAGUGAAACAUCUCAGUACCUGCAGGAAAGGAUAUUCCGUGAGUAGUGGCGAGCGAAAGCGGAUGAUGGCCAAACCUUGCGCGUGUGAUACCCGUCGGGGGUUGCGCGCGGGGUGUUGCGGGAUCGCGUGCGCCGGCUCCGACGGGCCGGCCGGCAGUUGCAGAAAACCAUGUGUCAGGGGAACCGGGUUGAAUACCGGGCCGCAGAGGGUGAGGGCCCCGUACCUGAACGCGCAUGGUCUGCCGAUCGCGUCUCCCAAGUAGCACGGGUCCCGUGGAACCCCGUGCGAAUCCGCCCAGACCGUUGGGUAAGCCUGAAUAUUCCUGUCUGACCGAUAGCGAACGAGUACCGUGAGGGAAAGGUGAAAAGUACCCCGGGAGGGGAGUGAAACAGUCUCUGAAACCGUGCGCCUACAAUCCGUCGGAGCCCUUUUGUGGGGUGACGGCGUGCCUAUCGAAAAAUGAGUCUGCGAGUCAGUGGCAUGUGGCGAGCAUAACCCGUGUGGGGUAUGCGUAGCGAAGGCGAGUCUUAAAAGGCGUUUGAGUCGCGUGUCCUGGACCCGAAGCGGGAUGAUCUAGCCCUGAGCAGGUUGAAGCGCGGGUAAGACCGCGUGGAGGACCGAACCCACCUGGGUUGAAAACCGGGGGGAUGACUUGGGGCUAGGGGUGAAAGGCCAAUCAAAUUCCGUGAUAGCUGGUUCUCUCCGAAAUGCAUUUGGGUGCAGCGUCGGGUCAUUACGUCCCGGGGGUAGAGCUACUGGAUGCUUGCGGGCCCGUAUCGGGUACCAACAGCAACCAAACUCCGAAUACCGGUGACGCGUAUCCCGGCAGUGAGUCGGCGGGGGAUAAGCUUCGUCGUCGAAAGGGAAACAGCCCAGACCGUCGUCUAAGGUCCCGAAGCGUGUGCUAAGUGGGAAAGGAUGUGGAGUCGCAUAGACAGCCAGGAGGUUGGCUCAGAAGCAGCCACCCUUGAAAGAGUGCGUAACAGCUCACUGGUCUAGUGGUUCCGCGCCGACAAUGUAGCGGGGCUCAAGCACACCACCGAAGACGCGGCAGUAUUUUGUACUGGGUAGGAGAGCGUCCCAUGAGGGGCGAAGCGGCCGUGUGAACGCGCCGUGGACUUCAUGGGAGUGAGAAUGCAGACAUGAGUAGCGAGAGACGGGUGAAGAUCCCGUCCGCUGGAUGACCAAGGGUUCCAGGGCCACGUUCAUCGUCCCUGGGUGAGUCGGGUCCUAAGGCGAGGCCGACAGGCGUAGUCGAAUGGAUGAACGGGUCGAUAUUCCCGUACCGGCUUUCAGCCGCCAAAACCGAGGCUUGGAGUACUAACCUCCGGGUCCGGGCUUACUGCUCCUUCGGGGGCGGGAUGCCCUGGCCUGUUGGGACCGAUCCUUGUAGUAGGUCAGCGCAGGAGUGACGCAGAAGGGUAGCCGGCCGCGGAGGUGGUCUUCCGUGGUCAAGCACGCAGGGCGUGGGACAGGCAAAUCCGUCCCGCAUGGGUCCGAGGUGCGAUGAUGGGGGCCUUAUGGCCCGAUAUCCGGUGAUCCCGGCUGCCGAGAAAAGCUUCGGCGUCAGGCUCAAAGCCGCCCGUACCCCAAACCGACACUGGUGGUCAGGUAGAGAAUACCAAAGCGAUCGAGCGAAUCCUGGUCAAGGAACUCGGCAAAUCACUCCCGUUCCUUCGGUUUAAGGGAGACCCCCGAUGGUGAACACACUUGCUGUGGGAGCUUUUGGGGGUGGCACAGACCAGGGGGUAGCGACUGUUUACCAAAAACACAGGUGCAUGCGAAGGCGCAAGCCGCUGUAUAUGCACUGACGCCUGCCCGGUGCCGGAAGGUUAAGAGGAUCCGUCAGCCUUCGGGUGAAGCGGUGAAUUCAAGCCCCGGUAAACGGCGGUGGUAACUAUAACCAUCCUAAGGUAGCGAAAUUCCUUGUCGGGUAAGUUCCGACCUGCACGAAUGG
rnacentral:rRNA from 1 species